rnacentral:tRNA from 1 species
GUCAGGGUGGCCGAGCGGUCUAAGGCGCUGCGUUCAGGUCGCAGUCCGGUCUUCCGGGCGUGGGUUCGAAUCCCACUUCUGACA